rnacentral:rRNA from 1 species
CAGCCCCUCGAGUGGUGGGGAUGAUUGUUUGGCCUAAAGCGUCCGUAGCCGGCCGAGCAAGUCUUCCGUUAAAUCCAGCGUCUCAAGCGUUGGACCGCGGGAGAUACUACACGGCUAGAGAGUGGGAGAGGUCAGCGGUAUUCUGGGGGUAGGGGCGAAAUCCUUUGAUCCCCGGAGGACCACCAGUGGCGAAGGCUGCUGACUAGAACACGUCUGACGGUCAGGGACGAAAGCUGGGGUAGCAAACCGGAUUAGAUACCCGAGUAGUCC